UCUCUCCCUUCAUUGAUGUGUUGCACCAAGGAGAAUGUGAAACCCAAGGGUCCACCUGCCUCCUCUCCAGCCUGGCCCAGAAAGCACCUUUGAAAGCGCACGAUCAGAAGGGUGGCUGUUCCCGCCACCAGCACGAAGAUGGCCACCACAAUAAGGACCACAUAACCGGCACCCAGGCCUGCUUCUGCAUGAGGAGGCUCACCUCGGGGAGGAGACAGGCACAGCACCAGCCAAAGGGUGGCAACAACUGAAGUGUCCACCAACAGGUGAAUGAAUCCAUACAUUGUGGCCCCACCGUGCAAUGGAACAUGACCCAACCGUGAAAGGAGUAAAGCGCUGACCCACUGCAACGUAAAUGAACCUUGAAGAUGUCACGCUGAGUGAAAGCACUGAGUGAAGGAAGCCAGGCCCAAGAGGCACCAAUAACAUGACCCUGUUCAUAGGAACUACCCGGAACUGAACAGAAAGCAAACGAGUGACUUUCAGAGACAGGGGGAAGGUGGAUGGGGAGGGACUCAUGCGUAUGAAGUUGCAUUUAGGGUGAGGAAAAUGUUUUGAAACUACAUGGAGUUGGUGGCUAUAAAACACUCUCAAUGUACUAAA
rnacentral:lncRNA from 1 species